UUUUCCGCAAUGGGCGAAAGCCUGACGGAGCAAGACCGCGUGGGGGAAGAAGGCUCUUGGGUUGUAAACCCCUUUUCUCUGGGAAGAAAGUUGUGAAAGCAGCCUGACGGUACCAGAGGAAUCAGCAUCGGCUAACUCCGUGCCAGCAGCCGCGGUAAGACGGAGGAUGCAAGCGUUAUCCGGAAUGAUUGGGCGUAAAGCGUCCGCAGGUGGCAGUUCAAGUCUGCUGUCAAAGACCGGGGCUCAACCUCGGAAAGGCAGUGGAAACUGAACAGCUAGAGUAUGGUAGGGGCAAAGGGAAUUCCUGGUGUAGCGGUGAAAUGCGUAGAGAUCAGGAAGAACAUCGGUGGCGAAGGCGCUUUGCUGGACCAUAACUGACACUCAGGGACGAAAGCUAGGGGAGCGAAUGGGAUUAGAA
rnacentral:rRNA from 1 species